AAGUGCUGGGAUUAAAGGCGUGCGCCACCACCGCCCGGCCAAGACAGCUUAUCUUUUAACCUGUUGAGUUAUGUGGUGUUAUGGACCAACAGUUUUGUGUUUUGGAUCUGGAAAGCUCUUUAUGCAAAUCAGAAAUGUGCAUGCCCUAGAGAACCUAUCUUCUGUUCUCUAGCAGCCAGGGCCAUCAACGUUCUUUGUUUGGAAUUUGUCCUAUGACUGCCUAAACUGAUGCUUGCCAGGUUGGUUCUUGUCAGUGGCGAGGGUCAGGAUUUCCUACUUUGUUUUGUUCACUCUGGUCACUGGACACUUGGGCCACUGUGAUGCCAAAUUUAAUUUGAAAGGUGCCAACUUAUUUGUAAUUCUAGUUUAGGCAACCUUCAUUCCACAGUAAGAUCCCUGAGCAGAUGGAAAGGAAGACACAGAGAGAAGAUCCAAAGGGAAAGAAGCAAAAGACCUGGUUGCUCCAGAGAUGAAGAAUCUUCACAAAGACCCAAGUGACACUAUGUGACCUGAAAAGGAAAAGUUCAGCACAAGCCUGAGAUAGAAAGAGUUAAAUUUGAGACUGGUGUUAGCUAAAUGAGAGGAUUACCGAAAACCGCAGGGGCCCAGGCCUUUGAAUACAGAUCAAAGUAAAGAAGAAAAAGCUGUUGAGUAUCCUGAGGACUAACGGGUCAGGAAGACAUAAAGCAUGAAGAGACGACAAAAAAUGCAAGGACAUCUUCGGAGCCUAGGCGUCUGGGACGUGCCCAAACGGACCUUGAGAAAUGGGCCACCUGGCCCUCUUAGAUUAGCUUAAGGUCAACUAGACACCUUGAAUAACAUUCCCCUUUCACUCGAAUAACACUCCCCUUCACUCCGCCUUUUUUAGGAAUUUUCAAUUAUAAUCUAUACGAACUACAUUUAAAAUAACCAAUCAUGUAUAGCCACCCUGAUUCCUUUGUUCCCUCAGACCUUUUCCCUAUAUAAACCCCUAACUUUCAAGCCUCGUGGUCGCUUUCCCAUCUCCUGUGUGAGUUUGGGAGAUGGCCCGGAGCUCCACCAUUAAAAAGCUGCCUCAUGCUUUUACAU